CGUUGCUUUGUCAACCUCCACCAAGGAUGCUACUUCACCAACAACUUUCGAAAAGCAGUCCUUAUUCCACAAGGAAAUAGGGAGCCCGUAACACCUAACCCAGAUAAUUUUAUGACCUGCUACAUGUGCAUCGGUCCAUGGUUCUACCGCCUCAAACACACUCUCAAACCAUUGCUUAUUGGUUCGAAUGAUAUCCUCUACUCUCACUCCCUGGUUGGGUGUUAUGAGAGCCAUGUUGUCCCCCAGAUAUCUCACUUUUACCAUGUUCAUCCCUCCCAAGAUAAACUCCUC
rnacentral:lncRNA from 1 species